rnacentral:rRNA from 1 species
ACUCCUACGGGAGGCAGCAGUGGGGAAUAUUGCACAAUGGGCGCAAGCCUGAUGCAGCCAUGCCGCGUGUAUGAAGAAGGCCUUCGGGUUGUAAAGUACUUUCAGCAGUGAGGAAGGUGGGUAUGUUAAUAGCAUAUUCUAUUUGUACGUUAGCUGCAGAAGAAGCACCGGCUAACUCCGUGCCAGCAGCCGCGGUAAGUACGGAGGGUGCGAGCGUUAAUCGGAAUUACGUGGCGUAAAGCGCAUGCAGGUGGUUUGUUAAGUCAGAUGUGAAAGCCCGGGCUCAACCUCGGAAUUGCAUUUGAAACUGGCAAACUAGAGUACUGUAGAGGGGGUAGAAUUUCAGGUGUAGCGUGAAAUGCGUAGAGAUCGUAGAAGGUAAGU